UACGUAGGGGGCAAGCGUUGUCCGGAAUCAUUGGGCGUAAAGCGCGCGUAGGCGGCUUGGCAAGUCGGAUGUGAAAUCCCUCGGCUCAACCAAGGAAGUGCAUCCGAAACUGCUGAGCUUGAGUACUUAAGAGGAUCGCGGAAUUCCCGGUGUAGAGGUGAAAUUCGUAGAUAUCGGGAGGAACACCAGUGGCGAAGGCGGCGAUCUGGGAAGAUACUGACGCUGAGGUGCGAAAGCGUGGGGAGCAAACAGG
rnacentral:rRNA from 1 species